rnacentral:rRNA from 1 species
UACGAGGGGGGCAAGCGUUGUUCGGAAUUAUUGGGCGUAAAGGGCGCGUAGGCGGUCAGCACAAGUCAGUUGUGAAAUCUCCGGGCUUAACUCGGAAAGGUCAACUGAUACUGUGCGACUAGAGUGCGGAAGGGCAACUGGAAUUCUCGGUGUAGCGGUGAAAUGCGUAGAUAUCGAGAGGAACACCUGCGGCGAAGGCGGGUUGCUGGGCCGACACUGACGCUGAUGCGCGAAAGCCAGGGAGCGA